AGAUCCUACAAAAGGGGAAAUGUCGACAUUGAGGACAGCUUCAGGUUCUGUGGCCUCUGUGCCCCUGUGCCAGUGGCACGCCUGAGCCUUGCCAAGUCGUGCCACAGGUGCUCAACACAGGAUAACCUGCCUCUCGGCUACUCUUAGUGCUGCUCACCUGACUGCCGUCUGCCCACAUUAUUCAGCCUAAGGAAGUCAGUGACAUGAGCUCUCGACAGACAGACAGACAGACAGACAGACGGACAGCCAGCGUGACUCUAGCUUGGUGCCCACAUAUGUCAUCUGAAAAAAACAUGAUUCCUGCAUCCAGGGGUUUACAGCCUCAGGCAGGCAGACAGUUGUAGGAGCCACUGGCAGUUGGCAAUGUUUGUAUCUACACCCAUCCCUGUUGGUCACAUAGUGUUAACAGACUUCUGGUCUUUGCAUAGAAGACAAGUGUGCAACAAGGUCAGGUAGCCAGGCAGACCUGUGACCUCGCCUAUAUUUAGUCCCAGACAGCUAAGGAAUUGCCCUAUGCAUUGUGGAUCGCUCACAGAAUAAAUAUGAAGGCCUAAUGCUGGCUCACAAGACUUACACAGCCCCACCACUAACCUGUCCCACGCUCUCCUAAGUGUGGGACGGCAGUAACAGUACCUGACAUACCCUGAUACCCCAAACCCAGUGUUGCCUCUGGGGUGAAUGGAAUGCCGUGUGACACUCACAGGACCAAAGCCUUCCCUUUGUUAAGGCCUUUCCUCACUGGAGCUUCCCUGACUGAAAGCCUGUCCAGGACACUUCCUAGGCCUGGCCUGCUUCUUUCCCACAACUCCUGGUGUAUCUUGUGCACACUAAAGGCCAGGCCUUCCUUAUUCCUGACCAUGCUCUGGUCUUGCAUACAACCUGGCACAGACACAUCCCCAGGUGCUCACACUGUACCCAUGUGGUUCCCACUUGACAUGUAUGAGCUUCACAGACACUUCCCCACACCUCUGCCCCACAGCAGGUUUUUAUCGUUGAGAUGCUGACUCUGACCAUGUUUAAUACAGUGUCAGACUCUCAGUGCUCUCUCAUCUCCCCAUCCGCUGGGUCAACAGAGUGAGUUCUGGGACAGGCUUUGGGUAGGAGGAGGCUGAAGCGGAUUUGAGGGUUAAAUGGAGUCUGGCUGAAGACAGUGAUCACAAACACAGGCAAUCCCAUUUACCCCAGUCUGGAUGCUCUUGGAAAACACAGGCUCCUGGAGAAAGAGGAGCAAGCCCCAGGAAGGAGUAAAGGCCCUGGCAUAAACUCAGAAGAUGGGAGACUUGAGACUACAAAAGGACUGUUAGUCAGCUUGAAGAGGACCUGGGUUCCAUUCCCAGCCCCUUGUAGCGGCUUACAACCAUCCUCAACUCCAGGGCACUCACUAAGGAUACACUGUUGCCCAAGGCUGCUCUACACAAGUGCUGAGAGUCAUCCUACAUCCCCUCUGCUACAGCUUGGCUGCCUCCCUUCUGGGACCCAUGGGAAAGGCCUGCAGUGCAGCCACCUGAAGUAGAAUAAGGAAAAGGUCUCAGCUGGGCAGGGGUGCUGCACAUCGUUAAUCCCAGUGCUCGGGAGGGAGAGACAGGCAGACUUCUCUGAGUUCCAGGCCAGCUGGGUCUACAGAGUGAGUUCUGGGACAGCCAAGGACACAGAGAAACCCUGUCUUAAAAAACAAAAAAAACAAAAAAAACCACAAGUUUACAGCACUGGCUGUUCUUCCAGAGGUCCUGAGCUCAAUUCCCGGCACCCACAUGUUGCUUACAACCAUCUGUAACUAGUCCCAAGGAAUCCGAUGCUCUCUUCUGGUGUAAGCACACAUUAAUAAAUGUAAAAACUAAAUUGUUUUUAAAUGUAGGGCCUCAUUUAAGAGGUGGAACCUAGUAAGAGGAGGCUGAGCCAUCAGAGGUCUGCCCUUUAAGGGAAUAGGAGAAUCCCCGCCUCUUCCUGCUUCUUGACUUGCUGGACCCCAAGACUUCAGGAACCUCCUACGCCUUGCCCUGCCAACAAGAUGCACUGGGCAGUAUGGCCGGUGACCAGACUGAAACCCUCCAAUUCUGAGCCACAGAAACCUGUUCUCCUUAAGUUGAUUGUCUUGGGUAUUUGUCACAAUGAGAGGAAACCGACAAACACAAAUCCGACCCCAUGUAAGAGUGUGAAGGCCCUGCUCAACCCCAGCUUCUCUGUGGUAGUCACACCUGACUCCUUCCAGGCCCUUCCCACCUUAGGCUCCCACUCACUCUUUCUUUGGGGACGUUAUUCCUCCCACCCCAUCUGUUUGCCUCUCAGGCUUUACCGUAGGACGUUACCUCUCACACAUCCCUUCCUCCAUCCCUCUACAUUGAACAGGACUCCGGCUCUAAGUCUACAGAACCUAAGCCCCGACCCAGCGAUGUGUGUAGCAGUCAGGUGACAACCUCAGGGAAUGAAUCCUCUCUUUUACCUCGUGGGUCCCAAGGAUGAAACCCUUAUCGUCAGGCUUGGCAGGAAAUGCCUUAACCCACUUAAUCUUUGGCUUUCUUUUUCUGCCUAAGAAAUGGGCAGAUGGCCAGACAUGAUGACACCGCACCUCUAGUGCCACGGCGAUCGGAAGCUUAAGGUCACUCUCCAAUACACAGCAAGUUCAAGGUCUGACUGCGUCAGUGAUACCCUAUUUCUGCCCCCACCACCAAAGAGGAGGAAUGAUAACACUGGCUCCUCCCAGAACGUCUCAAGGGUUAAAAGCAUUAACACUGCUAGGUCAGUGGUGGGUAAUGCUAUAUAAAGAUGUUUGUAGAGGUAGGUUAACUACUCACUAAACUAGUUAAAUUCACCUUGGCACAUCGUCACGUUUUAACCUACAAAGGACCACAGGCACAAAGGUAUAUGAUGCGUAAUAUCGCAAUAGAGCAGACAUCCUCCCCUCCCCUAAAGAUGCAGUAGCUAUGGCAACAUUGCCACAAUGCAGGGUAUUAGUCCUGGGUUUGAGGAGAUGCUGAAAAAAUAACUCUGUUUGGCCAGUAGCAUAGCACAGCACUUACAGUUACGCACCAUGUACUAAGGCAAUGGUAAAAUGAGAUUUGCUGGCUUGUCUUCACUGUGGUGUAACCGCUAUGGUUCUCUUACAGCAUAUUGCCUCUGCUUACAGACGUCAGCUGCUACCUCGUCGUGCAGCAGCGGUUCCACGCCUUGAGAACGUCGGGAGACACUGCCGUGGAGGACUAGAGCAUCUGCAUCUGUGGAGCACACUGUCUCGGCCCACAGGGACAAAGCCAUCUAGUGAUCCACUCCUCAGCACACAGAAGGCACAGCGGCUCUUAGGCCUGUCCACCCAGCCAGCGAUAUGCUCUAGCUGAACAGCGACACUCUCGGAUCUACAGCUAGACCUGAGCACCGGGCCUGUGCCCCCGGCCCUGAGUCAGUGAAGGACGAGAUCUGGUGGUGGAUCUUCCAUCACAGGCCCACGGGAAUCCUAAAGGGCUACACUACAGUGAGGAGGUGGUGAGCUCUCAGGCACUUAUAGCCCUGAGAACUGGUUGGGUCACUAAAGAGCUUGUUUGCAGAAGGUACACAGGGCUGCGGAGAAUGGCCCUCAGAAAAGGGGUGCUCCUGCACCGGGUCCCACCUGCUGAAGAUGUCUCCGGAGAUGUUCUGUAAGUACUGCAGGGCAUCUGCCACUUGCUGGAUUGCCUCCUCUCGACGCAGGUCUGGCUGGAUGAGGGGCACCGCAUAAACCUGGCCUGCCAAGGAGUGCUGGGUCUUCAUCGCCGUCAUGGUGCCUGUGGGAAGGAACCAAGACAUCAAGAACACAGCCCCACAUCCAACCCCUCCAUCUACCAGCCACACACAAGGUGGCCGUGUCAACGCCUGGGAUCCCGGGAGACAGAAGCAAGGACUGUCCGUUGUUUAAGGCCAUCUUCUGAUACAGACAGCUCAAGACCAGCCCGGGCUACGUGAGACACUGCCUACGUGACAUCCUAUCUUGCUUGAUACCCUGCCCUAUGCUGACUCAGCGGGUCCUGAUGGGAAGAGCCCCAGCUUCACUCAGCAUUUUUGUGAUUGCUCAUGUUCACAUUAAACUCUGGAACUAGGCAUCGCUAUUGCAAAGAGGUUGAUGGCUCUCUUGAAGAACACUUCAAGCAUUAACCAUCUCCACUGGGACAACCGUCACUUCUUCCAAAGUGAAGUUCAAGAUAGGUCUGUUGACUACUGACAUUCUUUCAUGGGCUGGGGGUUUUCUGCCACUUCCUCUGCACUGUCAGCUUGCUAUAUACGAUAAUUCUGCCCUAAUUGCACAUUACCUUGUAGUCUCAGUGUCCACACUGGAAAAUCAAGUGAAUUUCUGGUGAUUCUGCUGCUCUGGGACACCCACGUUCUGCAAGUAAAUCCAGUAAACUCAGGGGUUGCCCAAGGUGGGCUUCGAUGGAAUUAUACUUUGGGUUGUCAUCGGGGCUCUGUAAGGAGGGGUGGAUGCCUGUUUGCAGUCCUGCCCACAAGGGGAGGUUUCCAAACCAUCUAAAAUGGAUUGAAGGCCACCCACCCUACUUGUGAGGGAAAACAAUAAAUAGUUGAAAACGCAAUUUACUAUAAGUCGUCUUUCUGUGACUUUUGUUCUGAGACAAAGUAAUUCCUCCCUCCAGCAAGUGACUACAUUUCUAUCUUGGCCUUCAAUCGUUCCUGCUCGCUUAUUUUUCACUUGUCAUGCAUGCCAUGAAUACAUAAACAUUCCCAUUCCCACAUCACGGUGUCUCUUACAUACACACACACACAACCUCUGUCAAGUAUAUAUAUACAGAGACAGUGCUUGUUUUAGCAUAAGUGACACGUUUCUAGUGAUCGGCACUUAACCCAGAUCACCA